AGAGUUUGAUUAUGGCUCAGAACGAACGCUGGCGGCGUGCCUAACACAUGCAAGUCGCACAGAAACCCUGGGUAACCGGGGGAGUAAAGUGGCGCACGGGUGAGUAACGCGUGGGUAACUGCCCUUGAGUUGGGGAUAACCCCGCGAAAGCGGGGCUAAUACCGAAUAACAUGUCCCUCCACGGGGGCGGACAUCAAAGGUGGCCUCUGCAUGCAAGCUACUGCUCAAGGAUGGGCCGCGUACCAUUAGCUUGUUGGUAGGGUAAUGGCCUACCAAGGCGACGAUGGUUAGCUGGUUGAGAGGAUGACCAGCCACACUGGAACUGAGACACGGUCCAGACUCCUACGGGAGGCAGAGUGGGGAAUCUUGCGCAAUGGGGGAAACCCUGACGCAGCAACGCCGCGUGGGUGAUGAGGCCUUCGGGUCGUAAAGCCCUGUCAGGUGGGAAGAAAUAUGCCGAUGCGAAUACCAUCGCAUUUGACGGUACCACCGGAGGAAGCACCGGCUAACUCCGUGCCAGCAGCCGCGGUAAACGGAGGGUGCAAGCGUUGUUCGGAAUCAUUGGGCGUAAAGCGCGUGCAGGCGGUUGGGAAGUCAGAUGUGAAAGCCUUCCGCUCAACGGAAGAAGUGCAUUUGAAACUGCCCGGCUAAGUACGGGAGAGGAGAGUGGAAUUCCCGGUGUAGAGGUGAAAUUCGUAGAUAUCGGGAGAACACCAGUGGCGAAGGCGGCUCUCUGGCCCGAUACUGACGCUGAGACGCGAAAGCGUGGGAGCAAACAGGAUUAGAUACCCUGGUAGUCCACGCCGUAAACGAUGGGCACUAGGUGUGGAGGUAUUGACCCCU
rnacentral:rRNA from 1 species